rnacentral:rRNA from 1 species
AUUGAACGCUGGCGGCAGGCCUAACACAUGCAAGUCGAGCGAGCGGCGGACGGGUGAGUAAUGUAUGGGGACUGCCCGAUAGAGGGGGAUAACUACUGGAAACGGUGGCUAAUACCGCAUACUAUCGGAUAACCCAUAUGGGAUUAGCGAGUAGGUGGGGUAAAAGCUCACCUAGGCGACGAUCCCUAGCUGGGCUGAGAGGAUGAUCAGACACACUGGUACUGAAACACGGCCCAGAUUCCUACGGAGGCAGCAGUGGGGAAUAUUGCACAAUGGGCGCAAGCGUGAUGCAGCCAGGCCGCGUGUAUGAAGAAGUCCUUAGGGUUGUAAAGUACUUUCAGCGGGGAGGCGUUACCCGCAGAAGAAGCACCGGCUAACUCCGUGCCAGCAGCCGCGGUAAUUC